UACCAGCUCUCCGAGUGGUGUGGAUGUUUAUUGGGCCUAAAGCAUCCGUAGCUGGCCAAGUUAGUCCCCUGUUAAAUCCACCGAAUUAAUCGUUGGAGUGCGGGGGAUACUGCUCGGCUAGGGGACGAGAGAGGCCGACGGUAUUUUCGGGGUAGGGGUGAAAUCCUAUAAUCCCGGGAAGACCACCAGUGGCGAAGGCUGUCGGCUAGAACGCGCCCGACGGUGAGGGAUGAAAGCUGGGGAGCGAACCGGAUUAGAUACCCGGGUAGUCCCAGCUGUAAACGAUGCAGGCUAGGUGUUUGGGCGGCCACAGGCCGCUCUAGUGCCGCAGGGAAGCUGUUAAGCCUGCCGCCUGGGGAGUACGGCCGCAAGGCUGAAACUUAAGGAAUUGGCGGGGAGCACCACAAGGGGUGAAGCUUGCGGUUU
rnacentral:rRNA from 1 species